GUCUUCGUGGUUUAGUUGGGAAAACACCUGAAUAUGGUGCGGUAGAACUCGGGUUCGAGCCCCACGGAAGACA